GAUGAAGAACGCAGCGAAAUGCGAUAAGUAAUGUGAAUUGCAGAAUUCAGUGAAUCAUCGAAUCUUUGAACGCACAUUGCGCCCUCUGGUAUUCCGGGGGGCAUGCCUGUUCGAGCGUCAUUAUAACCACUCAAGCUCUCGCUUGGUAUUGGGGUUCGCGGUUCCGCGGCCCCUAAAAUCAGUGGCGGUGCCUGUCGGCUCUACGCGUAGUAAUACUCCUCGCGAUUGAGUCCGGUAGGUCUUCUUGCCAGCAACCCCCAAUUUUUACAGGUUGACCUCGGAUCAGGUAGGGAUACCCGCUGAACUUAAGCAUAUCAAUAAGCGGAGGA
rnacentral:misc_RNA from 1 species